AACGCGAAGAACCUUACCUGGGCUCGAACGGCUUCAGACCAUCUUUGGAAACAGAGACUUCCCGCAAGGGACUGGAGUCGAGGUGCUGCAUGGCUGUCGUCAGCUCGUGUCGUGAGAUGUUGGGUUAAGUCCCGCAACGAGCGCAACCCUUGUCCUGUGUUGCAACCCCCAAAGGGGCACUCUCAGGAGACCGCCAGCGAUAAGUUGGAGGAAGGUGGGGAUGACGUCAAGUCAUCAUGGCCUUUAUGUCCAGGGCUACACACGUGCUACAAUGGGCGGUACAAAGCGCAGCGAAGCCGCGAGGUGAAGCAAAUCGCAAAAAACCGUUCUCAGUUCGGAUCGCAGGCUGCAACCCGCCUGCGUGAAGCUGGAAUCGCUAGUAAUGGCGU
rnacentral:rRNA from 1 species